AUGACCCGCUGCAGCGCCGGGUACAGCGCCUCCACGGCCUACACCUGCUUCACCAUCAGUCCCUACGUCCUCGUCCAGGUCAAGGAUCUUGGCGCCGCAACCGAAUUGCCGCCGCCGACGGAUGUACGAGGGCAAACGCGGUCGAAACUUGGCUGCACGAGCACGGUGAGGGCCUCCAGAACCAGAUCCUCCGCGGCCGCGUGUUGCGCCGCCGGCCGUCACGAAGGCCUCGACUCGCUGUCCAUCGCCGACUUCCGCUCAUCCGCCCGCUCCGCCGCCCGCCAUGGUUCCAGUGAGGCACACACCGUACUGGGAGUUUAUAUAGACUGGCCGCCAUUACUCUCUCGAUGA
rnacentral:rRNA from 1 species